rnacentral:rRNA from 1 species
CCUACGGGUGGCAGCAGUGAGGAAUAUUUGUCAAUGGACGAGAGUCUGCACCAGCCAAGUAGCGUGAAGGAUGACUGCCCUAUGGGUUGUAAACUUCUUUUAUAUGGGAAUAAAAUGUUCCAAGUGUGGGCUUUUGUAUGUACCAUAUGAAUAAGGAUCGACUAAAUCCGUGCCAGCAGCCGCGGUAAUACGGAGGAUCCGAGCGUUAUCCGGAUUUAUUGGGUUUAAAGGGAGCGUAGGUGGAUUGUUAAGUCAGUUGUGAAAGUUUGCGGCUCAACCGUAAAAUUGCAGUUGAAACUGGCAGUCUUGAGUACAGUAGAGGUGGGCGGAAUUCGUGGUGUAGCGGGGAAAUGCUUAGAUAUCACGAAGAACUCCGAUUGCGAAGGCAGCUCACUGGACUGCAACUGACACUGAGGCUCGAUAGUGUGGGUAUCAAACAGGAUUAGAUACCCCAGUAGUC